UCCAUUGCUCAGUUGGUAGAGCACAAGGCUCUUAACCUUGUGGUCGUGGGUUCAAGCCCUAUCAUGGAG
rfam:Triticum urartu cultivar G1812 contig957779, whole genome shotgun sequence.